AAAAAAAAAGCCAUGAAUGAUUCAUAGAUGCAAGGGGGGAAAAAGACGAAGAGAGAGAGGGAGAGAAAGAGAGAUUAAGAGAGAGAAGCUUCAAAGUGACUGGAGCGGAUUUGAAGUCCUGAGCGUUCCUGUGCUGGGCAGGCCAGCAAUUCACCAGAGAGACCCCGUCAAGCUCCCCCCAUCCUUCGCCCCGGCCUCAUCCCUGCUGCCUCCUCCUCCUCCUCCUCACCGCCAACGCAGCCUCCCAGUCGCAGGUUCAAAGUUCAGCAGCAUCUAAUGAUGGGAAGGCCUCCCAAACCCUCUAAAAAUUCGGGCAUUUCAAAACUUGGUUCUGCUGUGACCAGAAUAAGGGAGUAUUCUCUUCCAGAUAAGAACUGAACUGAACUGAAAUUUACCUGGGAUUUGCACUUUCUCUAGCUGGAAGAGGAAUGACUAACGUCUGGCCAAAGCCUGAGUGUCUUUCUCCAAGUAGGUAGUUAACUGUUGAACAGAAUCAGCAACGGCAUCAAUAUACACACCAUGGAAGCUGGUUAAGCUUUGGGAAGAAGAGGGGUUCCAUUCAGGUUAAAAGCUUCUCACCCAUUUGAUCAAGUGAGAACAGAGCUAUCCCACCAUGACCACCUCCUUCAUGUCUAAUGCCCUUUCCACUGUACUUUUUUUCUGUUAGUCUGUUCAGUUCAUUAACACAACAAAGUUCAAUUAGGCAUGUUUAUUUUUGGCAUGAACUUUGCUUGGUAAUUCCUGUUUCUAUUUCAAUCUUGAAAAAGAGCUUUUGAGUCCUAAAGCCUCCUUUUCUUGCCCAAAGGUGUCAGGCUUUUUUUCUAACUAAGUUUGCAAUGGCUUGGAGCAAGUGUGUGUGAAUCUGUUCCUAUUA